ACUCCUACGGGAGGCAGCAGUGGGGAAUAUUGCACAAUGGGCGCAAGCCUGAUGCAGCCAUGCCGCGUGUAUGAAGAAGGCCUUCGGGUUGUAAAGUACUUUCAGCAGUGAGGAAGGCGGUACGUUAUAGUCGUGCUCGUUGAUCGUUAGCUGCAGAAGAAGCACCGGCUAACUCCGUGCCAGCAGCCGCGGUAAUACGGAGGGUGCGAGCGUUAAUCGGAAUUACUGGGCGUAAAGCGCAUGCAGGUGGUUUGUUAAGUCAGAUGUGAAAGCCCGGGGCUCAACCUCGGAAUAGCAUUUGAAACUGGCAGACUAGAGUACUGUAGAGGGGGUAGAAUUUCAGGUGUAGCGGUGAAAUGCGUAGAGAUCUGAAGGAAUACCGGUGGCGAAGGCGGCCCCCUGGACAGAUACUGACACUCAGAUGCGAAAGCGUGGGGAGCAAACAGGAUUAGAUACCCUGGUAGCUACG
rnacentral:rRNA from 1 species